rnacentral:rRNA from 1 species
GAGAUCGGGAUAACACCUGGAAACAGAUGCUAAUACCGGAUAACAACAGAUGAUGCCUAUCAACUGUUUAAAAGAUGGUUCUGCUAUCACUCCUGGAUGGACCUGCGGUGCAUUAGCUAGUUGGUAGGGUAACGGCCUACCAAGGCGAUGAUGCAUAGCCGAGUUGAGAGACUGAUCGGCCACAUUGGGACUGAGACACGGCCCAAACUCCUACGGGAGGCAGCAGC